rnacentral:sRNA from 2 species
UUGCAUCUGAGGCCAGUGAGGAUGAGAACCUCCGGGGGCAGGAGGUUCGACUCGAGCGAAGCGAGAGAACGUUGCGUCAGCAACGGCCCGCAGGGCGAGCCACGAAGUGGUGAGUCAUC